UAAAACACUACCAAUAACAGUUAAAACCAAACUCCCUCAGCGCCUCUCCCCGAUCAAAUGAACGAUCCAAAGAGAAAUCCGAGGCGGACGGGGCUGCUGCAGGUUGGUGUUAUCAGCCCGACCUGGCACGCAGGUGCUGAUUUGCAGCGUUGCGCUGAGCCCAGCAGCAGCCGGGACUCCGCAUUAUCAUUUUUGGUGGAGUCUCUAUUUUUUUAACGACGGUGUUUUUCUUCCAGGGAUGUUUCUUUGAAAUGCAGUUCGCGACGAUUAUUAGCGAGUGUGCUCGCGCGGCUCCUGGCGUCAUUAAGACUAGGAAUCUAAAUAAUAAAAGACAGGGGGAGCUUAAAGUUCAUUUGUAUUAAAGGGACAAGAUGGAUUUAAAGAGAAACGAGGAGGGGAACCGUCGAGCUCCCCAGGUUUGGGAAGAUCGCCCUCCUUCCUCCCGAAGGCAUCAUGCGGUGCAGCGACGUGGGCGUUUAUGCCACCGUUUCUCUUCUGCUCCCAAACGUCACACUGAGGGGCGACGCAGUUUUUCUCUCUUUUUUCUUUUUUCUUUUUCCUUUUUCUUUUUUUUUUUUUUUUCCCUGAUGUUUUGAAGAUCCGAACACCUUCGUUUUGUUUACUUCAGUGGGACAAAGAACCCAGACGAAUUCAGCUCGUUGUUUGAUUACUUGUACAUGUGUAUAUAUAAUAUAGGAACCUGCCCGGCUUUUAUGCUUCGGCUCCCGCAGAGCAGCACAAAGAGUUCCGCGGCCCCGGAGCCGUUCUAUGUGACUCUGCACCGCGUGUGGGGAGCGCAGGGAGAACAGAACCUCAGCCCGGCCGGGCUCUAUGGGGAGAUUUCCUUGGACGGGGUUCUGGAUAAGCUCAGGGCGCAUCGUUACCACUCGGUCCCAUCCUGCAGAGCAAUGUGCUUACGGAGUCACGGGCACUUGGGCGCAAAGCAGCGCGCCUGCGCAACCCCCCGAAAUAGCAACCGAACAAAAACUCCAGCCCCGGAGGUGUGCGGAGGAUUUCCCCGUGGCUGCCGGCACCGGGAGCAUCCCUGACCGGCGGGAGCCUCUCCGGCCCGGGGAGGUUUGGCUUCGGCACGCGGCCCCAGCGGCGCUCCGGGAUCCCUCCCGCACCCCGCGAGGUGGCAGCGGGUUUUUACCCCCGGCCAUCAGAACCACAGCGGCGCCAGAGGUGCGGCGGGACGGGGAACUGCGAGCAUCCUUCGCCCCCAGCUCAGAGCUGCGGGCUGGGGACUUGCGGUCGGAGCCCUUUGCCUGCAUCGCUGCCAACUCUCACUAAUGCAGGAGGCGAGGGGAAAGUGUGCCCGCAUCGCAGCUGCUUUUUUCCCAACCUAUUAAUUUGCUUAAUAAACGCGAAGUCAGCUCUGCUUCCUCCCAGAGGAGCGGAGUCCCCCGGCCAUAGAGUGCUGCCAGCCAGGAGGCUGUGCUUAGCAAUGCAUGGGCAGAAGUGACAGACUUUGACACCCGGCACUUCGGGGCCCUAGGUUAGACAUGGCAUGGGAGGCUCAGCAGUAAGGCACAGCUGACUGGGGCACCUGCAUGGAGCUGCACAAAGUUUUGUGCACGGCAGGAGAUGGGGCUAAGCCACAGCGCAAGGCAGGGUGAGAGAGUGCCCAGCUCCCAGCCUGACCCAGCCUCGAAGGCAGGGGAUGACCAUGAAUGUCUGUGCAGCUGCAUUUACUUCCAUCUCAUCCUUUCAAUGAAAGCAACAGUUGUGCUGGGCUCCAGCAGGUGGGACCAAAGGAGAAGGGGGUUAUGCUCCCCCAAACCCCUGUAUGGCUACCCCAUGAUGCUGAGGUGCCUCCUCAGGGCUGUGACAUUUUGCCGGUGUCUGUCCAUGCUGGAGAGAUGCUCUCAUUUUUCUUUUUUAUUCCCUCUGUUUUAUGUCGGGCAGGAGCAUCAAUGGCAUCAGCUUUGGUGCUGUGAGCCGGCACUGCUCCAAAGGAAGCAGGAGGCUGAGUGUGUCAGUGAAGUAAGAAGGCUCCACAUCACUAAAGUUCAAACCACAACAGUGCUAAGUGAAACACCAGAAUAUGUGUAUCUAUCUCCUUCCUGAAAGCAAAAAGAGAAACAGCUUUGGGCACGAUAUAUGUAACUCAUACUUUGAAAAAUAAAGCUUUGAUGGACAAUGCAUUCCUACAGCUAAUUGCCUAUACUACAAUAGGAAUACAAGCAUCAGUGCCACAAUAAAUAAAUAAAUAAAUAAUAAU